rnacentral:rRNA from 1 species
CUACGUGCCAGCAGCCGCGGUAAUACGGAAGGUCCAGGCGUUAUCCGGAUUUAUUGGGUUUAAAGGGAGCGUAGGCUGGAGAUUAAGUGUGUUGUGAAAUGUAGACGCUCAACGUCUGAAUUGCAGCGCAUACUGGUUUCCUUGAGUACGCACAACGUAGGCGGAAUUCGUCGUGUAGCGGUGAAAUGCUUAGAUAUGACGAAGAACUCCGAUUGCGAAGGCAGCUUACGGGAGCACAACUGACGCUGAAGCUCGAAGGUGCGGGUAUCAAACAGGAUUAGAUACCCUGGUAGUCCGCACAGUAAACGAUGGAUGCCCGUUGUCAGUUCACUUAAGAAUUAGCGACCAAGCGAAAGCAUUAAGCAUCCCACCUGGGGAGUACGCCGGCAACGGUGAAACUCAAAGGAAUUGACGGGGGCCCGCACAAGCGGAGGAACAUGUGGUUUAAUUCGAUGAUACGCGAGGAACCUUACCCGGGCUUGAA